UGGUUAACCAUUUACCAGCACACCACUGAGGGCAUUUAGAACCUAGCACAUGGUAAACACUAUGAUAAACGUUCUCAUUAUUUUCCCGUUUGUCCACUGGGUCAGGAUGUAUAGUCUUUUUUUGUGUCUGGGUUGGAAUUUAAAAUGUUUGAAGAUCACAGAAUUACAAAAGGCCAGAGGGUGGCUAAGCUACACCUAUUUAACUCUCCCAAUAAUGCUGUUAAGUCUGUACUAUUGAUUAUCCCCACUUUCCAGACAGGGAAACUGAAGUUCUGAGGCGGUAAAACUCAGGCAGCGCCUCCAUUAUCUGUAGUGCGAUCUGAAAUUGCAGCCGAGCAGCCUCCGCGCGCUCGCUCACUUCAAGAACGCAUUUCUCCUAUCACGUUUAUGCCCCCAGCGGUAAUUUCGCUGCCCUGCACGCGAAAAAUGAAUGGGUGGCAUCGUGCGCGUGGCAUCUUGGGAAAUGUAGUUUACAGGCUCAAUGACAAGCAUGGUCCAAGAAGGGAGGGGCGGGGGAGCAAUUCGAUCUUGGCCUCGGAAUAAAAAGAACAAAGAAUCGCCGGCAGUUUGCGCGUCGCGACGCUUCAGCCACGCAGUGCGUGGAUUCAGCCACUUUGGCCGUGCCGCUUGCAUGCCGGGAAACGCAGUUCGCGAGCCCCGGAUACGUCGACAAUAGAUGACGGGACUCACGUUGUACGUUCACAUCAGGUCCCGGCACGCCGGAGCCUGGGCGGUCCACGAUGGUGAGUUUGCCACGCUGCGACAGCUCAUAGGCUUGUCCCCCGGGCAUUCUGGUGAACUACGAACGCAAACUGAAGCUCUACGACUUGUCGCCCGUUUGCGCUCUCGCCGAGGCACAGGCUGCUCGCGGACCACCCUGCUCCGAAAACUAAGAGGUAGGUGGUAGCCCACUCAUCUGGUUACUGAUACUGGCCAGCAUCAGCUGACUGUCGGCAGGUCCUUGGGCAACUGGUGUGUGAAAUGGGACGGACGUCGAAGGACAAGCGGGAUGUCUACUACCGCCUGGCUAAGGAGAAUGGCUGGCGUGCUCGCAGCGCCUUCAAACUGCUACAGCUGGAUAAGGAAUUCCAACUCUUCCAAGGCGUGACACGGGCAGUUGACCUGUGUGCAGCCCCGGGCAGCUGGAGCCAGGUGCUGAGCCAGAAGAUUGGGGGCCAAGGGUCCGGCCACGUGGUGGCUGUGGACCUGCAGGCUAUGGCUCCACUACCAGGUGUGGUACAGAUCCAGGGGGACAUCACCCAGCUGUCCACUGCCAAGGAGAUCAUCCAGCACUUUAAGGGCUGCCCUGCGGACCUAGUGGUGUGUGACGGGGCUCCUGAUGUAACCGGCCUCCAUGAUGUUGAUGAGUAUAUGCAGGCCCAGCUUCUCCUAGCUGCUCUGAACAUUGCUACACAUGUCCUGAAGCCAGGGGGCUGCUUUGUGGCCAAGAUAUUCCGAGGCCGGGAUGUGACGCUCCUCUACAGCCAGCUGCGAGUCUUCUUCUCCAGCGUGCUGUGUGCCAAGCCCAGGAGCAGCCGGAACUCCAGCAUCGAGGCCUUCGCUGUCUGUCAGGGCUAUGACCCUCCCGAGGGCUUCAUCCCGGACCUGAGCAAACCCCUGCUGGACCAUUCUUACGACCCAGAUUUCAACCAGCUGGAUGGUCCCACCCGCAUCAUUGUACCUUUUGUGACUUGUGGGGACCUGAGCUCCUAUGAUUCGGACCGCAGUUACCCACUGGACCUAGAGGGCGGCUCAAAGUACAAGUACACUCCACCCACACAGCCCCCCAUCUCGCCACCAUACCAGGAGGCCUGCACGUUGAAGAAGAAGGGGCAGCUGGCCAAGGAGAUCCGCCCCCAGGACUGCCCCAUCAGCAGAGUAGACACGCUUCCCCAGCCCCUGGUCGCCCCUCAGCGCCACAGCCUGCUGGCCCCUGAGGUCUGGAAAUGUGACUCUCAACCCGCAUUGACCCCUUCCCUGUGUGCCUCUUUCUGACCCAAAUCUCAUGGUUUCUGGGGCCAAAAUUCCCUUUCCUGCCUCCUAAUAGCUAUAAAAAAAUUGGUGAAACCAAGCAUAAUGAAUGGAAAAAUUUCACCAAAUAUGUGAGUCACUUUUCUUUUUCUUGAGUAGAUGGAAGACAAUGAAAUGAGUUGUUCACCUUAACCCAUUAUGCUGGCAAGCUGAUACAACUCAGAAACUGCUCAGUGUCAGGAAAACCAGAACUUGUUGAUGAACUUGUUUUCAAAAUAUCAUCUCAUCAACGAGGCCUGGACAAACAAGCCCUGAGGAGGGAUCUGCAACAACCCUGAAGACAACAAGGAAAGAAAGCAUAGAAGUCUCUCCGCACUGCAGUGGGAAUUCUUGAGUGAGGUCUUACCUCUUCUUUAAACCUCUUCAGGAGUGUCCUGAUUAUAUCCAGAAAUUUCCCUAAAGGCAGGGAUUCUUAACCUGGAUAGAAGCCAGGGGUAACCAUAAACUUGAUGGAAGAAAAUGUUACAUCUUUAUUUUCAGCAAUAAAACAACGUUAGCCUUACUCCCAAGUUAUAAAUGCUGGCAACAAAUCACAAUAGUAAAAGCAGUACCUGGGAUUUUCCCACCAAUGCAAACCAGUUACAACAACUGUAAUGUAGCAUAAAAAGGGCAUCUUGAAGUAUUGUUCAUAUUUGUCACCUCUUGGAAUGACAGCAGAUCCUAUAAGUUGAUGUAUUAAUUAAAAAGCCCAUAUAUGACUGCAGCUCAAUUUUGUUUCAAUUUAAUAUAUAGUAAUAAUUGUAAUUCAAUGUAA